AGCUUUUCACUGUGCCUCGAUACACACGACAAUAAUAAAUUAAACCAGAACCAGAUUAAACUCCUUCUCCAAAUUUAAUCCUGUUAGUCUGCACGCAACUCAAGUCAGAAUAUGUUGAAUAACAUGUUGGGGCAAUUGAGCUAAUUCCCAGGACUCCAGCACAGGUUUGGAUCCUGCAGAGCUAAACAGCCACAUGCACCUUAGUCUCCUAUCUCACAUCAACCACAAGUGGUAAAGGUCACGUAAUAAGGUUAUCUAAAUAACCGGUCAAACGUCAUCAUGGUGGUGCAGAUGUAUAGCUGAGGUUCAAUUAUCACUUGGAUAAGAAAUAACAAGGCUUCACACAAGGGCCAUGCCUUUCAGGACAUGAUUAGUAUGGUGUCUUGACACUGAUCCAGUCCUUAAUGAUAGGGUCACCUUUUUCCUCCUGUAUCCAACCAUACACUCAUUAUAGCACCCAAAUAAUUUUUUGUAACAUGUUGCCUCAUGUUUCCUAAAACUUAUCUUUAAACAUUUAUUGUAAAUUUAUAUUGGGAGCAAAUAUGGUUUAUACAUAAUAUCACCAUACAUAUAAUGCUCAAUUGAUCAUUUAAAGGAAAGAUUUAUGCUUAAUUUUGCAGAAAUCUAUUUUUGGUUUUCAUCCAAAAGAUUACCAACGUUUAAAUCCUUGAAUUAUUUGUGUAAUCCUUGUGCAGUAUUGUUUAAUAGUGAAACAGUUUAAUGUCAAUUGCAGAAAAUAGUUGUAUUUAAAAAAAAAAAGUCAGAUCAACAAAUAAUGAGUUGGUCUGUGCAGAAGGAAUAUCACAACUCCUUUUUCAAAUCCCGAUUCCAUCUAACUAUUCUGAAAUUCUUGUGAAAGCAUGAUGAUAAAACACAGUCCUAACCAUCAAAAUAACGGCAACUUCACUUAUUUCUCUGGUAACUUUAAUUUUAAGAAAAGCUGUUGCCAUCACAAUGAAUUUUGAUGCAGAAAUCGUAUUCGCAGGACAAACGCCAAAGACUUGAAUGAACUAUUGUCAUGCCUUGUUCUCAACUUCCAGCCUGUGCACUAUGCAUUCCAAAAACAAUGACAAUUUGCAGCCUUUAUCACGUGCCUCAUUUUCAUACGUUUUACACAUCUUGCUCUUUCAUCUUUAAGCAAUCAUUCAAUAACUCCAAUUUCUGUAUACAAGAUUAUAUAAAUACACGUUUUCUCUUUCCCCAAAAUGUUGCUAAAUCGGUAGUACUUAUAGUGAGUGGUCUUAGUGAUCUAUAGCCUUGAUUUAGCAAUACCAAAACUCCAUUAAAAGGGGUUUGUAAAUCAUCUUGCUGUUAAUCACUUCUGCUUUUAUCUUGCUUCUGCACCUUCCUCCCGUCCACUACCACCAUCCUCUGCAUUCCACUUACUAAAAGUUGCCUUACCACCUCCCCCUGUUCCAGUGGAGUGGUAUUCCUUUUGAUAAGAGGUUCAUGGCCUGCUUAUUAGAAUUUGGGAAUUCUGCAGAGUUGCCAAUUGUUUUAUAACACUCCUGUGACAAGGCUUGGGCCACUUUAUUGCACCAAAGUUGCUGCCUGUUAAGUCGAGCCAACUGUCUAAUGCAAAAGCAGCCAGAGGGUUGCUGCUUGUGUUAACAACGAAAGCAUUGACAGUAGUACCUCAAAAUUACACAUAAGCAUUGGAAUACAAUACAUGGAAACUUGAUGUGCUUUGCGAUGCUCUUCAUAGUUAUAUCUUGUUGUAAAAUUCAAGGAACAUUUUCUGUUUCCUGAUCUGCAAAAGGCGGUUAAUGUUUCUAAUUCGUUUGCAGAUAAUUACUGUUUGUACUUUCAACGCAAAUUAUGCCACUAGGUGGUGCAAGUGACACAGCAUAGUCGAAUGCAUUAUUUUAAAGAAACUAUUUUACUUUAAACUUGUCCACAUGUAUAGUUUG